UGGUCUUCCGAUCUCAGUAAAUUAAAAAUAGAGUAAAAUUUUGGUUGGGGUGACCUCGGAGAAAAAAUAAUCCUCCGAAAGACCUAGACCUGGACUUACAAGUCAAAGUUAAACUACGUCACCUUUGAUCCGGAAUUUCUGAUCAAUGGACCAAGUUACCCUAGGGAUAACAGCGCAAUCUCAUGAAAUAGUCCAUAUUGAUAAUGAGGUUUACGCCCUCGAUGUUGGAUCAGGACAUCCAAAUGGUGCAGCAGCUAUUAGAGGUUCGUUUGUUCAACGAUUAAAGUCCUACGUGAUCUGAGUUCAGACCGGAGAAAUCCAUGUCGGUUUCUAUCUAUU